rnacentral:tRNA from 1 species
GAGCAAGUAGUUAAAAAAAUCAAUUUAAUUUGUAGUUAAAAAUUAUUAUAAAUAAUCUUCCUAA